GGGGGGGGGGGGGGGGGGUGGAGAAACUCAUGCCAGGCCUCACGUUAGCUGGCCUUAGGGGUGGAGAGAGUGGGAGAUCCGCACCGGACUUAAAAGUCAGCCAGAGGCAAAGCGAUGCGGCAAAGGAGCUCAGGCAUCGGAGUCUAACAUGGGGGAUGUGAGCCAACGGGGGACCCACCUCCACCACUCAGUAGCUGUGUGCCCUCGAGAAAGUCGUGGCAUCUCCCUGGGCCCAUGUCUUUCUCUAGAAAAUGGAGCUAAAUGUAUGGAGGCUGUGGUGAGGGCCUAUGCUAACCCCCUCACUGAAUGCCCAGCCGAGAGUUGGUGCUCAGUCAGUGGUAUUUCCUGGGGACUUAUGACCCCGACUUUGGGCAGAGGCAUAUGGUGCAUUAGCUGAGAGUCAGGCUUUUAAAACUGGGGUGCUCCUGACUCUCAGGGAUCCAGCAAUGAUCCAGGAGGCCCGGAAAGCCCCAGGCAGUACAGAAACUCCUCACUGAGCAUCAACGGUGCUUUAAGACUAUACUGAUUCAACACCCUGUGACUGAAACCCAAAUAUUUUUCUAGAAGCAAACGCAGGCUGGUUUGCAGUCAUCCACAGAUCAUGAGCUUCCCCCAACACUGCUGAGGUGCGACUCGUUCCAGGCUUGAGCAGUUGUUUGCAAAAGCGAGGUAGCCCUCUUGAGACCCAAGGUGCAAACAUCUCAUUGUUGGGAAAGGAGUUCCUCUUUGACAUUCAAAUAUAAUGAAGAAAAAAAAGGGAAUAAAAAUUCCAGCAGAUUAAAACAGCAAACAUAUGAAAAGAUGCUCAAGGUCACUAAUCAUUUGGGAAAUGCAAAUCAAAACCACAGUGAGAUGUCACCUCACGUCCAUCAGAACCAUUAUGAUAACACUGUCAAGGAGUGGAGAUAUCACAACCUCUGUGCACUGUUGGUGGGGAGGGAAAAGGAUACAGUCAUAAAUGAAAACAGUAUGGUGGUUCCUCAAAAAGGUCUACGUAGAAUUACCACGUGAUCUACUAAUUCCACUUCUGGGUAUGUAGACAAAAGAAUGGAAAGCGAGGUCUUGAAGAGAUAUUUGCACAGCCGUAUUCAUCGCAGGAUUAUUCACAGUAGUUCAAAGGCGGAAGCGACCCAGUGUCCAUUGGAGGAGGAAGAAACUGAGGCACAGAAUGGUAAACAUAAAUAAUCCAAGCUCAUGUAGCUGAUGCGGAACCUGGAGCACAGAAAGGAUGAGCAACUUGCCCAAAGACACACACUUUCAAGUGGCAGAGAAUGUAACCGGCAGCUGUUGGCAGCUGGUUCCAGCUAUUAAUACUCUGAGAAGUGGCGGAGCUGUGAGGAGUCUUUUUGUCCUGUCCACAUGACAAGGAGUGGUGCCGUUUUGGGAGGCUGGUGAAUGAGGGGGGUCCCUCCUCACCGAAGAUCAUUCGGCUCAAAGUUGGAAGGUCAAUGGCGAGAUUGGAUCUUCAUUCUGCCAGCAACCGGUUCCGUGACCUGGAGCAAGAUGGAGAGAGCACAGCCCGUACAG